rnacentral:rRNA from 1 species
CUUUGGUGGGUUAGUGGCGACGGGUGAGUAACACGUGGGCAAUCUGCCCUUCACUCUGGGACAAGCCCUGGAAACGGGGUCUAAUACCGGAUAACACUCUGUCCCGCAUGGGACGGGGUUAAAAGCUCCGGCGGUGAAGGAUGAGCCCGCGGCCUAUCAGCUUGUUGGUGGGGUAAUGGCCUACCAAGGCGACGACGGGUAGCCGGCCUGAGAGGGCGACCGGCCACACUGGGACUGAGACACGGCCCAGACUCCUACGGGAGGCAGCAGUGGGGAAUAUUGCACAAUGGGCGAAAGCCUGAUGCAGCGACGCCGCGUGAGGGAUGACGGCCUUCGGGUUGUAAACCUCUUUCAGCAGGGAAGAAGCGCAAGUGACGGUACCUGCAGAAGAAGCACCGGCUAACUACGUGCCAGCAGCCGCGGUAAUACGUAGGGUGCGAGCGUUGUCCGGAAUUAUUGGGCGUAAAGAGCUCGUAGGCGGCUUGUCACGUCGGAUGUGAAAGCUCGGGGCUUAACCCCGAGUCUGCAUUCGAUACGGGCUAGCUAGAGUGUGGUAGGGGAGAUCGGAAUUCCUGGUGUAGCGGUGAAAUGCGCAGAUAUCACGAGGAACACCGGUGGCGAAGGCGGAUCUCUGGGCCAUUACUGACGCUGAGGAGCGAAAGCGUGGGGAGCGAACAGGAUUAGAUACCCUGGUAGUCCACGCCGUAAACGUUGGGAACUAGGUGUUGGCGACAUUCCACGUCGUCGUGCCGCAGCUAACGCAUUAAGUUUCCCCGCCUGGGGAGUACGCGCAUGCUAAACUCAAGUAUUGACGGGGCCCGCACAAGCAGCGGGAGCAUGGUGGCUUAAUUCGA